rnacentral:rRNA from 1 species
UAUUAUAUUUAAUGUUAAAUUAUUACUGGGGUAGUAAUAGAUGUUCUUGAAACUCAAAGGAUUUGGCGGUAUUUUAGUCCUUUCAGAGGAAUUUAUCUUUUAAUUGAUAAUACACAAUUUGUUUUACUUAAUUAAGUUAUCAGCUUGUAUAUCGCCGUCAUAAGAUUAUUUUUAUUUUGAGGAUUGAAUUUUCUUAUAUUUAUAAUAAAAGAUAUGUCAGGUCAAGGUGCAGUUUAUAAUUAAGAUGUUGAUGAAUUACAAUAGUUUUAAUUUAUUACGGAUAAUUAUUAUAAGUUUAAUUUGAAGGUGGAUUUGAUUGUAAAUUUAUUUUUGAUUUUUUUAUUGAUUGAGGCUCUAAAAUAUGUACAUAUCGCCCGUCGCUCUCGUAUUUAUAUAUGAG